GCCUGCGUGGCUCAGUUGGUUGAGCGUCCGACUUCAGCUCGGGUCAUGAUCUCACGGUCUGUGGGUUCACGCCCCGCGUCGGGCU
rnacentral:tRNA from 1 species